rnacentral:rRNA from 1 species
UGGGAAUUUGGACAAUGGGCGAAAGCCUGAUCCAGCAAUGCCGCGUGUGUGAAGAAGGCCUUCGGGUUGUAAAGCACUUUUGUCCGGAAAGAAAUCCUUGGCUCUAAUACAGUCGGGGGAUGACGGUACCGGAAGAAUAAGCACCGGCUAACUACGUGCCAGCAGCCGCGGUAAUACGUAGGGUGCAAGCGUUAAUCGGAAUUACUGGGCGUAAAGCGUGCGCAGGCGGUUUGCUAAGACCGAUGUGAAAUCCCCGGGCUCAACCUGGGAACUGCAUUGGUGACUGGGCAGGCUAGAGUAUGGCAGAGGGGGGUAGAAUUCCACGUGUAGCAGUGAAAUGCGUAGAGAUGUGGAGGAAUACCGAUGGCGAAGGCAGCCCCCUGGGCCAAUACUGACGCUCAUGCACGAAAGCGUGGGGAGCAAAACAGGAUUAGAUACCCUGGUAGUCCACGCCCUAAAACGAUGUCAACUAGUUGUUGGGGAUUCAUUUCCUUAGUAACGUAGCUAACGCGUGAAGUUGACCGCCUGGGGAGUACGGUCGCAAGAUUAAAACUUAAAUGAAUUGACGGGGUCAUAGCUGUUUCCU